rnacentral:lncRNA from 1 species
GGGGUCUUACUGGCCUCCAUCCUGACUUUCAGACUAUCGCCACCGUUGUCAUCAGCACUGAGGCAAGCGAUGCAGAAACCAGACUGUUGGCCAGCCUUCGGACAAGCCAGAAUGUUGCAUGUCUGAGGACUCCACCUGCUGGGAGCCAGCAUGGGAGAUCCCACCGUGACAAGGUCAUGCGAAGGAGACCUGACAAGCAAGGCUUCAGGACUCAAGGGACUCCCUGGGC